GGAAUAUUGGACAAUGGGCGCAAGCCUGAUCCAGCCAUACCGCGUGGGUGAAGAAGGCCUUCGGGUUGUAAAGCCCUUUUGUUGGGAAAGAAAACUUGCAGGUUAAUACCCAGCAAGUCUGACGGUACCCAAAGAAUAAGCACCGGCUAACUUCGUGCCAGCAGCCGCGGUAAUACGAAGGGUGCAAGCGUUACUCGGAAUUACUGGGCGUAAAGCGUGCGUAGGUGGUUGUUUAAGUCUGUUGUGAAAGCCCUGGGCUCAACCUGGGAACUGCAGUGGAAACUGGAUGACUAGAGUGUGGUAGAGGGUAGCGGAAUUCCCGGUGUAGCAGUGAAAUGCGUAGAGAUCGGGAGGAACAUCCAUGGCGAAGGCAGCUACCUGGACCAACACUGACACUGAGGCACGAAAGCGUGGGGAGCAAACAGGAUUAGAUACCCUGG
rnacentral:rRNA from 1 species